GAGUUUGAUCCUGGCUCAGAGCGAACGCUGGCGGCAGGCCUAAUACAUGCAAGUCGAGCGCACCUUCGGGUGAGCGGCGGACGGGUGAGUAACGCGUGGGAAUGUGCCCUUUGGUACGGAACAACACAGGGAAACUUGUGCUAAUACCGUAUGUGCCCUUCGGGGGAAAGAUUUAUCGCCAUUGGAGCAGCCCGCGUUGGAUUAGGUAGUUGGUGAGGUAAAGGCUCACCAAGCCUACGAUCCAUAGCUGGUCUGAGAGGAUGAUCAGCCACACUGGGACUGAGACACGGCCCAGACUCCUACGGGAGGCAGCAGUGGGGAAUUUUGGACAAUGGGGGCAACCCUGAUCCAGCCAUUCCGCGUGAGUGAAGAAGGCCUUCGGGUUGUAAAGCGUCUUUUGUUCCGGAACGAAACGGUUACGGUAGAAUACCGUGACUACUGACGGUACCGGAAGAAUAAGCACCGGCUAACUACGUGCCAGCAGCCGCGGUAA
rnacentral:rRNA from 1 species